GGCGUUAUAGUGUAAUCUGGUUAAGCACGCCGUCCCUUCAAGUCGGAGAUCUGGGUUCAAAUCCCAGUAACGUCA
rnacentral:tRNA from 2 species